rnacentral:lncRNA from 1 species
AGUAAUUCACACGGAACAAAAAUUAUAUACUCACAAGCAUAUGUAGCAAUAAAAUAUUGAAUUGGACAAAAUAAAUGUAAUUCACGUGGGACCAUGAGAGUGAGUAGGAGCAUUUUGACCAAUAAAUUAUUAAAAAUAAAAAUAAUGAAAAAAGCAAAACAGGAGACUUUUAAUGGUUCUUCCCAGCAUCCCAACCAUGUCGUUGCCGUUUCUUUUUUUUUCUUUUCACUCCUCUCCCCCAAUCCUUCUCCACCUCCCACCGCCCAAAAAAACCAACACAAUCCCUUAUUUAAAGUGACCGUUUCUGCCAUCAAAGAAUAUCAUAACUUUCAUCUGAUUUUCUUUACUUUACUUUGACUUUUCCAAAUCUUUAUGAGAUGUUUUAAAUUGUGGUGGUUAGGCACUGUACUUUCUUUAAUAUUUUGCUAAACAUGCCGUAGAUAAAGGGACUACUUGAAUUUUGAGAAGUGAUACUAAAAGUGAAAAAAAAGAGAGUGUAUUGAUGGUUGUGGAUAGAUUACUGGUAACAGUGAAACAAUGGGGAUAAUAAGGCUGAUUGAAAAUUAUAAACAAACGUGGGUUUUGUUAUGUAUUUGCAAAUAAAGGAGGAAGGGGUGGUGAUGAAUGCAAAACUCUAAGAGAGAGGACUGUUUGGGAUUUCAUUUUUAGGAAAAAG